AACUGGCUCUAGCAGCUCAGGGCUCAGGCAGGGACCGGUGGCAGCGGGGCGCGGAGGCGCAGCGGGAGGGUGGUGGUGCGAGCAGCGUGAGGCGCAGGACCCUGUUGGCUGCGCCGCCGCGCUCCCCGCCCCUUUCUCCCACCCUCUGCCCCCCUCCUUUCCUCCCUCCCUUCAGUGCUCGCGCGGGAGCAGGAGCCCCAGGCUGAGCGGCACAGGCGCAGGCAGCGCACCUUCGGCGCCUGCAGCAGCCACAGCAACCUGGCGCGCGGUGGCGCCGGCGGCGGGCGGGCGGGCGCCGCGGGUCCGACUGGGAAGUGUGCGGAACCUUGCAGAACAGCGCGGACGGGGGCGCUGCGGCCAAGGCGGCGGCUCGCAGGAGCGCGCAGGGCAGCCCCCCGGGCUAGCCAGCGGCAGCGGCGGGCCGGGCCGGCGGGGCGGGCGCCUUGCAAGCUGGUGCAGCUAGAUUAAAGGAUUUACUUGAAGACAAAUCAUUCUAUUCAUCAGAGACCAGACAAGAGUCACUCUUGCUUUUGCCAAUUAAAGAUGAUGUUGUCAUGGAAACAGUUGAUCCUGCUUUCAUUCAUUGGCUGCCUGGCAGGUGAACUUCUUUUACAAGGCCCUGUGUUUAUCAAAGAGCCCAGCAACAGUAUUUUCCCUGUUGAUUCAGAGGACAAAAAAAUAACAUUAAAUUGUGAAGCAAGAGGCAACCCUUCACCUCAUUACAGGUGGCAGCUGAAUGGCAGUGAUAUUGAUACAAGUCUGGACCAUCGUUACAAACUGAAUGGAGGAAAUCUCAUAGUUAUUAACCCUAACAGAAAUUGGGAUACAGGAAGUUACCAGUGUUUUGCAACGAAUUCUCUUGGAACAAUAGUGAGCAGAGAAGCCAAACUCCAGUUUGCCUAUCUUGAAAAUUUUAAGACCAGGAUGAGAAGCACUGUGUCGGUCCGUGAAGGCCAGGGAGUGGUGCUUCUCUGUGGACCCCCACCUCACUCAGGAGAACUGUCAUAUGCUUGGGUCUUCAAUGAGUAUCCAUCAUUUGUUGAAGAAGACAGUCGACGAUUUGUCUCUCAAGAGACAGGACACCUCUACAUAGCUAAGGUGGAACCAUCUGAUGUGGGAAAUUACACAUGUGUGGUGACCAGCACGGUGACAAAUACCAGAGUAUUGGGCUCCCCAACCCCUUUGGUGCUACGCUCUGAUGGUGUCAUGGGUGAAUAUGAACCCAAAAUAGAAGUCCAGUUUCCAGAGACUCUUCCAGCAGCUAAAGGUUCAACUGUGAGGUUGGAAUGCUUCGCCCUGGGAAACCCUGUUCCUCAGAUUAAUUGGAGAAGAAGUGAUGGGAUGCCGUUUCCCAACAAAAUUAAGUUGAGGAAGUUCAAUGGUAUGCUGGAAAUUCAAAACUUCCAACAGGAAGAUACAGGCUCCUAUGAGUGUAUUGCUGAAAAUUCACGAGGAAAAAAUGUGGCGAGAGGGCGGCUCACUUACUAUGCAAAACCUUAUUGGCUUCAACUCUUAAGAGAUGUGGAAAUUGCUGUGGAGGACAGUCUUUAUUGGGAAUGCCGGGCAAGUGGGAAGCCUAAACCCUCUUAUCGAUGGCUGAAAAAUGGAGAUGCCUUAGUACUAGAGGAGAGAAUACAGAUAGAAAAUGGUGCCCUUACAAUAACCAACCUCAAUGUGACUGACUCUGGAAUGUUCCAAUGUAUAGCAGAAAACAAGCAUGGUCUCAUCUACUCCAGUGCUGAGCUCAAGGUAGUAGCUUCUGCUCCAGAUUUUUCAAGAAACCCUAUGAAAAAAAUGGUCCAGGUGCAGGUGGGCAGCCUGGUGAUCCUGGAUUGUAAACCCAGAGCCUCUCCAAGGGCACUUUCUUUCUGGAAGAAGGGAGACAUGAUGGUGCGGGAGCAGGCAAGGGUUUCUUUUUUAAAUGAUGGAGGACUCAAAAUCAUGAAUGUGACUAAGGCAGACGCUGGAACCUACACCUGCACAGCAGAAAACCAGUUUGGGAAAGCAAAUGGCACAACCCACUUGGUUGUGACAGAACCUACGAGAAUAAUUUUGGCACCUUCAAACAUGGACGUUGCUGUUGGUGAGAGCGUCAUUUUACCCUGCCAGGUUCAACAUGAUCCCCUAUUAGACAUAAUGUUUGCCUGGUAUUUCAAUGGAGCCCUUACAGACUUUAAGAAAGAUGGAUCUCACUUUGAGAAAGUUGGUGGGAGUUCAUCUGGUGAUUUAAUGAUCAGAAACAUUCAAUUGAAACACAGUGGGAAGUACGUAUGUAUGGUGCAGACAGGGGUGGACAGUGUUUCCUCUGCAGCUGAGCUCAUCGUGAGAGGUUCACCUGGGCCACCGGAAAAUGUGAAGGUAGAUGAAAUUACAGACACAACAGCCCAGCUCUCUUGGACGGAAGGCACGGACAGUCAUAGCCCAGUUAUAUCGUAUGCAGUCCAAGCUAGGACGCCUUUCUCUGUGGGCUGGCAAAGUGUCAGAACAGUACCUGAGGUCAUUGAUGGCAAGACACAUACAGCUACUGUCGUGGAGUUAAACCCAUGGGUGGAAUAUGAAUUUCGCAUUGUAGCCAGUAACAAAAUCGGAGGUGGAGAACCCAGUUUACCCUCAGAAAAACUCCAGAAAUCGCACCUUCUGAGGUCAGCGGAGGAGGUGGAAGCCGAUCUGAACUAGUGAUAACCUGGGAUCCAGUCCCUGAAGAACUACAGAAUGGAGGAGGUUUUGGGUAUGUGGUUGCUUUCCGCCCACUUGGGGUUACCACCUGGAUCCAGACAGUGGUGACAUCCCCAGAUAACCCAAGAUACGUCUUUAGGAAUGAAAGCAUUGUGCCCUUUUCGCCAUAUGAAGUUAAAGUGGGAGUUUACAAUAACAAAGGUGAAGGACCCUUUAGCCCAGUGACAACUGUGUUCUCUGCAGAGGAAGAGCCUACAGUUGCCCCAUCUCACAUCUCUGCCCAUAGCCUGUCUUCCUCAGAAAUUGAAGUUUCUUGGAAUACAAUUCCCUGGAAGUUGAGCAAUGGACAUUUACUGGGCUAUGAGGUGCGGUACUGGAACAAUGGAGGAGAAGAAGAAUCAUCCCGCAAAGUGAAAGUGGCAGGAAAUCAGACAUCAGCUGUGCUCCGAGGCCUGAAGAGCAACCUGGCCUAUUACACAGCUGUCCGGGCUUACAACAGCGCAGGCGCUGGUCCCUUCAGCGCCACAGUUAAUGCGACCACCAAGAAAACCCCUCCCAGUCAGCCACCAGGAAAUGUUGUUUGGAAUGCUACAGACACUAAAGUGCUACUUAAUUGGGAACAAGUGAAAGCCAUGGAGAAUGAAUCAGAAGUAACAGGCUACAAGGUUUUCUAUAGGACUAGCAGUCAGAAUAAUGUGCACGUGCUGAACACAAAUAAAACUUCAGCUGAACUGUUGCUGCCUAUCAAAGAAGACUACAUUAUUGAGGUCAAGGCCACCACAGAUGGAGGGGAUGGCACCAGUAGUGAGCAGAUCAGGAUUCCAAGAAUAACCAGUAUGGAUGCAAGAGGAUCCACGUCAGCCAUUUCUAACAUCCACCCUUUGUCAGGUUAUAUGUCUGUCCUACUGUUCUUUAUUGUAAAUGCUUUGUGGUGAUAGGGCUUUUUUUUUAUUAUUUCCUGGAAAGUUAAUUGGUUACCCCCAUAAAAAAAGUGCUUUCUGAAACAGUGAUUAUGCAUGUUGUUUUCAGCUAUGUGUUUUUAAAUUUCUACUUCAUUAUAGGUAAAAUAUGAAUCUAAUAAAAACAGUAAAUCCUUUUAGAGGAAUCUGAGAUGCCUUAAUAUUUGCUUGGUAAACCAAAGGAACUUGCAAAUUACAUACUGCAAACUUUUGAUAGAAAUAUUCUUAUGUUAUGAGUUUAAACACUUUCCUAUGUGUGAGGCACAUACACAGGAUGCAUAAAAACACAGUGCACACAUGAUGUAUGGAGACACAUAGUACAUACACGGUACACACAGCACACACAAUGCACAAACACACACACACACACACACACACACACACACACACACACACACACAGAGUUUUUCUAUACUAAAAUAUUUCUCAUUUAUUCCAAAUGUUCCUUUCCCAUUGUUACAAUAUUACCUAUCAUUUCUAAAUACUAAUUUGACUCCUCAGAGGAAAAUGCACUUAAACAGUUAUUCUGGACUGGAGCAGCCUGGAAGGGCGUAUUGUCAGAAAAUGAUACUCUGAGCUUGGGGAAGUGACAUUUGCUUCAAUGUGCUACUGUAUGGCUGCGAGAUUCCCUUUGUCACUUCAUCCUCUCAUCUUUCACUUAUUUAUUUUAUAAAAUGAGGUGACAAUAUUUCUCCUAUCAGCCUUUACUGCAAGAAUCCGUUGUUUAAAACAAAGGAAGUAAUGGGAAAGCAUUGUUUCCUCCAAUGUGCAAUGUCCCUGUGCAGAAUCUUACAUGAAGCUACUAAGGUGACACAGAACAGGCACUUCUUUGAAGCUUGCUGGCAUUGCAUGCUCUUCUUAGAAUUAUCCCUCUUCUUCAAAGAUGGAAAUUGAACCUGAGUGAAGAUUGUAACAUUGUUUCUUUUUGUUGGUAUUUACAAAGAAAAAGAUGGAACAUGGAAAUGAAUACAUUUUAUCCUUCCUUAAAAAUUAAAGUGAACUUACUUGGGAAAGAGAAUUAGGACUCAUCCCCUUCCCAUGUAAAAAUAAGCUUUCAGGUUUUGUCAAAUCCCAGUAGAGAAAAUAAUGAAAAAGCUGUAUCUUAACCCAAAUAUAAAACAAAAUGCAUAUAAUUCUUCAUUUAUAAUUUCUGAUCCUAUUAAGGGACUCUCUCUUGGUUUGGAUGGCAGAGAUGGAUUUUUAAUGGAAUUCCACUCUCUAUCUCAUCGAGCCAGGCAGCCUUUUCCAUUCCCAAGUAAAAUUUGUAAAAGAACAUGGUGAUGUUGCUGGCUUUGAUAUGGAUGAGUCGAGUCUUUCAAUAUGUGAUUUUCAAAGGACUGUGGAAGACAUGGCUUGGCAGUAACAUGUAGAAGGUAUAUGAAAAAUAGCAGAUUGAGUGCUAGAAUUUUUUACCACUUACCUACUAUUUUCGCAUUUUGCUGGGAUUUUUUUCUUAUUACCAAAGGUAGCAAAAUUGGAAAUCGAUGGUAUAGCUCUCAAGCAACAUUAAACCUUAGCCAAAUGCUGAUACCUUUCUAGUGUCCCACCCUUCUUUAGAGAUUCCAUUUAAGACAAGGUUGCUAUGUAAAAAGAAGAAUGGGGUUUUUUUUUAAGUUUUUCUGUAGGGUCUGUAUAUAUUGUACAUAUCAAGAAGAAAUCCGAAUGACUAGUGGAUUUCCUAUGACCAUUGUUAUUUCCAGUCAAAAUGUGGGGUCACACUUUCUCCAACCCCUGUGCUUUAUGGUACACAUAACAGAACUAUACCUUUUUUAUUUUCUGAUGACUCCAAGAAUUUGUUCCUAUAGUUUUCUUUUACAAGAUGGCUAUUCUCUUGUUUCCUGUUAUUUCUAUCAGUAUCAUCUCCAUGAGAUGUACACACUGUUUCAUAUUGAAAAGUCUAAAUUUUACUGUUUAAAUUCCUGUGUGUGUAUCCUAUGGUUAUCUGUAUGUAUGAUUUUCUAUUAUUCUAAUAAAAUUUAUAAUAAUCAAA